rnacentral:tRNA from 1 species
AACAAGCCGGGAUAGCUCAGUUGGUAGAGCAGAGGACUGAAAAUCCUCGUGUC